rnacentral:rRNA from 1 species
AUGAACGCUAGCUACAGGUUUAACACAUGCAAGUCGAGGGGCAGCAUGGUCUUAGCUUGCUAAGGCCGAUGGCGACCGGCGCACGGGUGAGUAACGCGUAUCCAACCUGCCUUACACUCUUGGACAGCCUUCUGAAAGGGAGAUUAAUACAAGAUGUUAUCAUGAGUAAGCAUUUUCGCAUGAUUAAAGGUUUACCGGUGUAAGAUGGGGAUGCGUUCCAUUAGAUAGUAGGCGGGGUAACGGCCCACCUAGUCUUCGAUGGAUAGGGGUUCUGAGAGGAAGGUCCCCCACAUUGGAACUGAGACACGGUCCAAACUCCUACGGGAGGCAGCAGUGAGGAAUAUUGGUCAAUGGACGAGAGUCUGAACCAGCCAAGUAGCGUGAAGGAUGAAGGUUCUAUGGAUUGUAAACUUCUUUUAUACGGGAAUAAACGAAUCCACGUGUGGAUUUUUGCAUGUACCGUAUGAAUAAGGAUCGGCUAACUCCGUGCCAGCAGCCGCGGUAAUACGGAGGAUCCGAGCGUUAUCCGGAUUUAUUGGGUUUAAAGGGAGCGUAGAUGGGUUGUUAAGUCAGUUGUGAAAGUUUGCGGCUCAACCGUAAAAUUGCAAUUGAUACUGGCAGUCUUGAGUACAGUUGAGGUAGGCGGAAUUCGUGGUGUAGCGGUGAAAUGCUUAGAUAUCACGAAGAACUCCGAUUGCGAAGGCAGCUUACUAACCUGUAACUGACAUUGAUGCUCGAAAGUGUGGGUAUCAAACAGGAUUAGAUACCCUGGUAGUCCACAAGGUAAACGAUGAUUACUCGCUGUAGGCGAUAUCCAGUCUGCGGCAAAGCGAAAGCAGUAAGUAUUCCACCUGGGGAGUAUGCCGGCAACGGUGAAACUCAAAGGAAUUGACGGGGGCCCGCACAAGCGGAGGAACAUGUGGUUUAAUUCGAUGAUACGCGAGGAACCUUACCCGGGCUUAAAUUGCAACCGAAUAUGGCGGAAACGCUAUAGCUAGCAAUAGCGGUUGUGAAGGUGCUGCAUGGUUGUCGUCAGCUCGUGCCGUGAGGUGUCGGCUUAAGUGCCAUAACGAGCGCAACCCUUGCCGAUAGUUACUAACAGGUUAUGCUGAGGACUCUGUCGGGACUGCCAUCGUAAGAUGUGAGGAAGGUGGGGAUGACGUCAAAUCAGCACGGCCCUUACGUCCGGGGCUACACACGUGUUACAAUGGGGGGUACAGAGGGCUGCUACCACGCAAGUGGAUGCCAAUCCCAAAAACCUCUCUCAGUUCGGAUUGAAGUCUGCAACCCGACUUCAUGAAGCUGGAUUCGCUAGUAAUCGCGCAUCAGCCACGGCGCGGUGAAUACGUUCCCGGGCCUUGUACACACCGCCCGUCAAGCCAUGGGAGCCGGGGGUACCUGAAGUGCGUAACCGCAAGGAGCGCCCUAGGGUAAAACUGGUGACUGGGGCU